GUGGGAGUAGCUCAGUGGUAGAGUAGUAGAUUGCAAUUGUCUAAUCGCAAAUAUCUAUUGGUCCUGGGAUCAACCCCCAGUUCCCACU
rfam:Cryptococcus amylolentus CBS 6039 supercont1.13, whole genome shotgun sequence.